rnacentral:rRNA from 1 species
GACGAACGCUGGCGGCGUGCUUAACACAUGCAAGUCGAACGAAGUGGCGAACGGGUGAGUAACGCGUAAUCAACCUGCCCUUCAGAGGGGGACAACCGUUGGAAACGACUGCUAAUACCGCAUACGCACGGUGGAGAUUGCGUCUGAUUAGCUCGUUGGAGGGGUAACGGCCCACCAAGACGAUGAUCAGUAGACGGUCUGAGAGGAUGAACGGCCACAUUGGGACUGAGACACGGCCCAGACUCCUACGGGAGGCAGCAGUGGGGAAUCUUCCGCAAUGGACGAAAGUCUGACGGAGCAACGCCGCGUGAGUGAUGACGGCCUUCGGGUUGUAAAGCUCUGUUAAUCGGGACGCGGUACCGGAAUAGAAAGCCACGGCUAACUACGUGCCAGCAGCCGGGUAAUAC